UGGGGAAUAUUGCACAAUGGACGGAAGUUUGAUGCAGCGACGCCGCGUGGAGGGUGUAGGCCUUCGGGUUGUGAACUCCUUUUUCUCGCGAAAAAGGCACAGUUUUGGCUGUGUUGAUGGUAGUGGGGGAAGAAGCGCCGGCUAACUACGUGCCAGCAGCCGCGGUAAUACGUAGGGCGCGAGCGUUGUCCGGAUUUAUUGGGCGUAAAGAGCUCGUAGGUGGUUCGUCGCGUCUGUCGUGAAAGCCAGCAGCUUAACUGUUGGUCUGCGGUGGGUACGGGCGGGCUUGAGUGCGGUAGGGGUGACGGGAAUUCCUGGUGUAGCGGUGGAAUGCGCAGAUAUCAGGAGGAACACCGAUGGCGAAGGCAGGUCACUGGGCCGUUACUGACACUGAGGAGCGAAAGCGUGGGGAGCGAACAGG
rnacentral:rRNA from 1 species